CCUACGGGGGGCAGCAGUGGGGAAUUUUGCGCAAUGCUCGUAAGAGUGACGCAGCGACGCCGCGUGAAUGACGAAGGCCUUCGGGUCGUAAAGUUCUUUCGACAGGGAAGAAAAUGCCUAUAAGUAACUGUGUAUGUAUUGACGGUACCUGUAUAAGCAGCCCCGGCUAACUCCGUGCCAGCAGCCGCGGUAAUACGGAGGGGGCGAGCGUUGUUCGGGGGGACUGGGCGUAAAGAGCACGUAGGCGGUGUUGUAAGUCAUUAGUCAAAGACUAGAGCUCAACUUUAGUAAGGCUAGUGAUACUAUAAUACUAGAGUAUCAGAGAGGAUUGCAGAAUUCCUGGUGUAGCGGUGAAAUGCGUAGAUAUCAGGAGGAAUACCGUUAGCGAAGGCGGCAAUCUGGCUGGAAACUGACGCUGAGGUGCGAAAGCGUGGGUAGCAAACAGGAUUAGAUACCCCUGUAGUC
rnacentral:rRNA from 1 species